GGUCACGUAAUUGUCAAAAUUAAUACAAUCGACGAUGUAAUAUAUCAGGGGAAUUUCGAUUUGUCUUAGCCUAGGGUUUCAAGUCCUCAACUGCUCGAUUAUUACUUAUAAGUCGUUAAUUUACUUAAAAUCGAGGUUAGCUAUGAAAGGCGUCGCCGAUCGCACCAAAGUGGUGCUAAGGCACUUGCCGCCGACGAUUACUCAGCCUGUGCUUAUGGACCAAAUCGAUGAUAGAUUCGGCAAGCGCUACAAAUUGAUUUCGUUUCGCCCUGGCAACAACAGUGCAAAGCAUCAGAUCUGUGCUAGAGCCUAUUUAGACUUCCAGAAGCCAGAGGAUGUUAUAGAAUUUGCUGACCUCUUCGGUGGACAUGUUUUUGUCAAUGAAAAAGGAACCCGGUUUAAAACAGUGGUUGAGUACGCUCCUUCACAACGUGUAGCUAAGCAUUUGUCUAAAAAGGAUGGCCGUGAAGGAACUAUAUACAAAGAUCCAGUAUAUAUGGAGUUCUUGGAAUCUAUAGCAAAGCCUAUUGAAAAUCUUCCCAGUGCUGAAAUUCAAUUAGAGAGGAGAGAGGCUGAACGAGUUGGUGCUGUAAAGGAUGCUCCAAUAGUCACACCUCUAAUGCAAUUUGUUCGUCAGAAAAGAGCUGCCAAGGGUGGAUCUCGGAGAUUUUUGGCUAAUGGGAAGCCUGCCAGGACUGGUGGAAUAUCAUCCGGAACUUCUGUUUCAGUUGCUGUUAGACGGGGUUCUGAGAAAAACAAGUAUAUUACAAGAGAUACUGCAAAAAGAACUGGCAGCAAAGAGAAAUCAGCAUAUAUCAUUGUCCCCAAACGAAAUGACCAACAAAUUAUGGAAAAAGCUAUUUCAGAUGCAGCAUCAGGAACUAAAAUUGUAGGAGAGGAAAGAGGGCUCCCUGGAACAACUGAAAUGGGAAAGAAGAAAAUAUUACUACUGAAGGGCCGAGAAAAAGAAAUCUCUCAUGCGUCUGUGGACUUGUCUCUAAAGCAAACUACAUCGUCACCUGUUAAAAAUUCUAUUGGGGUAACUGCUCCCAGACAGAAUAACCAACAAGAGGCUAGUGGAAAGAUUAUAAAAGGCAUACUUCUCAAUAAAGAUUUGCGUAAAAAUACUUCCAUGGUUCAAUUUAAUACACGUAACCAGGUUUUAUAUCAAGAGAAGGAUAAAAAAGUACCUCAUUCACCAAAAGAGAAGACUUUUCUUGAUGCAAAUGGAAAUAAUUCCGUUAAGACUGAGAAGCAGGAGAAGCGUGCAAGAAAUAAGGGUAGACCUGAGCGCGGUGUUUGGACUGCUCUUAGUCGGUCAGAGGGAUCAAAUGCAAGUAAUGAGUCAUUGCCAUCUGCUAAUUCGGUGCAUUCACAGUCAUUAGAUCCUAGAGAAGGAGGUCAAGGAGAUUCAAAGAAGAACAUGUUGGCUUCGAAGAGGGAAGAGCUCAAGCACGUUGGCAGGGGACAUCAUAUUUCAGUUGAUAAUAGUUCUUAUAAACACAGUGGUCGCCAUGGGCUUCAACAUAAUGGAAAGGAUACAGAUGGCCCUAUGAUCAUUGGGGAAGGAAAACCUUUUAAAAAGGGGCUUUCUUCUGGAUAUAGCUCUCACGAGGUGAGCUGGGAGUUGAUUUAGUGCCAUGACUUCCUUAUUAUUUUGGAAUUUUUUUUCAGCUUGCCAAAGCUAAGUUGAAGGAAUAAAUUACUAUAGAUAAGCAGAUCCAGAAACAGGUUUGGGUUCAAAAAUCAAGUUCUGGAUCUUAGAGUUAAUUGAAACGAUCAAUGAUCAGGUCUAUUACUAAAUGGAGAUACAUUUGGCCUUUGGCCAGAAGACUAUCACUGUGAUAAGUUUAAAACAAGUUUGCGGAGGGAAUCAGUAGGCAUAUUUGAAGACCUGAAUAACUCCAGCCUCGAGGUUUGCAAAUAUUGAUGUAUGUACUGAUAGUUGGGCAGAGUCCUAAUCUUACUCAAAGAUGACCAAGAUAGAAGCAUGCUGAAUGAUACCAAAAGAUUUUUGAUACCCGCUUCAGUUUUAUUCGGGGUGUGACAUGACUUGGCAGGUUGGGGUGUAUGGUAAAGCGACAUAUAAUCUAAAAUCUACAAGCCGUAUCUUGUUAGGCUGAUGAUGGUGGUAUUUUGGUUUUAAUUCCUAUAAUCCUAUGAUUUGAAAUGCAAGUAUUGUGUGGCCUAGUACCAACCAACUGUCUGUAAUUAGGUCAAGGAGAGGAGGUUUGAAACUGUUGUUUAACUUGCUGGUGAGCAUUUCAGGGAUUUGACUAUAGUUGUAACUUGUAAGCCGUUGAUUUAAUAUGUUGGCUGUGGGGAUGUGAAGGUAAUGUUUUAAGAUUUGCGCUUAGAUGGUUCGUUUUGAUUCCAUAACAUGAUAUGAUUUUUUAAUUAAAUCGUGAUUGUCUAACACAAUAUAUAUUAUUAGUACAAUAUCUUUGUGAAGGAUUAA